UACGUAGGUGGCAAGCGUUGUCCGGAUUUAUUGGGUUUAAAGGGUGCGUAGGCGGUUUCAUAAGUCAGUGGUGAAAUACGGCAGCUCAACUGUCGAGGUGCCAUUGAUACUGUGAGACUUGAGUACAGACGAGGUAGGCGGAAUUGACGGUGUAGCAGUGAAAUGCUUAGAUAUCGUCAAGAACACCGAUAGCGAAGGCAGCUUACUAGGCUGUAACUGACGCUGAGGCACGAAAGUGUGGGGAUCAAACAGG
rnacentral:rRNA from 1 species